AAGCCACAGCAGCCACCAUCAAUAUGAUCAAAGUAAGAUCUUGCCAAGCUUCCCAAAGGAACCUCCAGAAACUCCUUCCUUUUUUCUGUGGAUAUGUAUUUGAUCCAAAUGCAUUCUUGCGCUUCAGUAAAUCAGCUAUCAUCCCCAUGGAUCCCCUUCUCUGUAUUUGUUUUUAAAAGAUCAGAAAGCCUUUUUACCCCCCCUAUUUGCUCUAGAAAGUCAAGCCUACGAUCCAUUGUCAUUGUAGAAAGUUGGGCUUGAUCAAUUCCAAAAUCACCAGCAGGUGUUGCAUGUAAUUCUACUUCUCCAUUAGCUUGUCCCAGAGAUGCUGUAAAACGAUAUGCAGCCCGUAUGACUUCUAUAUUUGCUCUUAUCUUUCUAUAUAUUUGCUGCUUCUCUUCUUCCUUUUUCAAGUCCAGGGUGUAUCGGAAUCGACGAGAAGCAUUAAGCACAAGUGCAGCUUGCCUCCAGCGGCGAAGCCGUUCGAUAGUGGCGUUUUUAGUGCUCGGAAUAUAAAAGGGACUGGAAAGCUCGUCGUCAAAGGAACGGCCUCCGGCCUCCAGGUCAUGUCGCCGGCUGGACGGCGAAGAAUUAGAUGGACUAUGCAUUUGUUAACUUUGUUUCUUGUAUAAAAAAAA
rnacentral:misc_RNA from 1 species